CCAAAUGAAAUUUCAGACAUAGACACACAUUUCAAACAAACACCUCCAUUUUCCGAACAAACCACUCAUACAAACACUCUCGUCGCGACCUCCGUUCUCACCUCUAUUUCCCGAACUGACAAACUCACUGCGCCGCUCUCGCAGUCCCGACCUCCAUUCUCACCUCUCUCACCUCACAAUCUCGACCUCCAUUCUCACCGCACAGUCUCGACCUCACAUCUCAAAUUAGGGUUUCGGUGUUCACAAUUUGGGGAUUUUGCUCAGUUCUCACCAUCAUAUCUCCAUCGCAGUUCUCGAUUUGGGGAUUUCGGUGUUUUUAGUUCUCGAUUUGGGGAUUUGGGCAUCUGCAAUUAGGGUUUCAUUUUUUCGAUUUAGGGAUUUCAACUUCUCGGUUGUGGUUUUGGUUGUGGGUUCAAGUUCUCCAUUGUUCAGUUAGACUGGUAAUUCCUUUUUUUAUUUAAGAUAUAGAUUUUGCAUAUAGGGCUUUUUGUGAUUAAGAUUUGUAUUUUUUUAGUUGCUAUCUGCUUGUAAUUUGUAUUUUUUUAGUUGAUAUUAGCUAGGUUGGGAUCAAUUAAUCAAGAAGAAACCCCUGAAUGGAUCCUAUAUUUUUAAUUCUGCCCUGACUUAUUACAAUCAGUUUGAUUUUAUUGGAGGCACGAUACUUCAAACUCGUCUCCCUGCAAAAACCACGAUGAUACAAUGUUAACAUGCCAUCUCUUUUAAAAUCGAAGGUGUUAGUAGAAGGAACUAAAUGAAUGUUACACGUUUUUAGCUUGAUAAUUGUGAAUAGUGAUGUUGUACACUUGUACUGAACUUCUUGUAUAAAUGCCGAUAAGAUGUACAGGGACAAGGGUUUGGGAGCUUCAAGUCUGGUUGUGAUUGCACUUUCACAUGCCUUAUCCCUCUUCGUUGGGGUACAUAUUGAUACAGUCACAGAGGAGUACCAUCCUGGACAGCUUGACCACCUCUGACUAAAAAUGGGAUAACUUCAUGUAGAAAAUGUAUUUUUUUGAUCAGUAAAAUUUGCUGAAAACUAGACUCCUAUACCUUUCCAAUGGUAUAUCAUACUGCACCUAAAACUUUCUAGAUUCAAGCAGUUUAUUUAGAAAAGUGGACUCAAAAAUAUUCUCAGAAUUCUGAUUUUUCUACAUCAGAUCAGCUGGGAGUCUUUCUAUGCUUAUUAACCGUUUAGAUCCAAUUUCUUGAAGUUUUGCUUUGGAAGAUUUGAAAUUAGACUCUGGUCUGCUGCAAGAGAGAAUGGGAUUCAACAGACAAGAAACUCAUACGGAGACGGAGUGUAUGGAACCACAUGCCCCAUUUCCCCUGGCAAGAACUUCACAUACAGGAUGCAAUUAAAAGAUCAAAUCGGAAGCUUCUUUUUAAUUUCCCUUCUCUCAGCUUCCAUAAAGCUGUUGGUGGCUACGGGUAAAAAAUGUAAAGAAUAGUAAGGUGAUAUUGCAAUAUCUAUAACUGGUUACACAUCAAGGGAUGCUGCUGGUGCCUUCUAUGUAGUCUGGCAGAUUUAUGUUACUGCCUUAAGCCAUUGAAAGAUUCAGUACUUAGCUAUUUUGUUGGUUGUUGGGAUUGGUAUUUUGUUGGGACAUUUUGUAACUGUUGGUUUGGUGAAAGAUUAUGACAGGGUUGCUUGUAGUUUGAUGGCUUGUUUAGGAAGGGAUUUAUAAAUGUACAAGACUGAUAUUGCAAUUUUUUAUAAAAAGUGUUGCAUUUUACUUUUUUCA